rnacentral:rRNA from 1 species
GACGAACGCUGGCGGCGUGCUUAACACAUGCAAGUCGAACGGAAAGGCCCUGCUUUUGUGGGGUGCUCGAGUGGCGAACGGGUGAGUAACACGUGAGUAACCUGCCCUUGACUUUGGGAUAACUUCAGGAAACUGGGGCUAAUACCGGAUAGGAGCUCCUGCUGCAUGGUGGGGGUUGGAAAGUUUCGGCGGUUGGGGAUGGACUCGCGGCUUAUCAGCUUGUUGGUGGGGUAGUGGCUUACCAAGGCUUUGACGGGUAGCCGGCCUGAGAGGGUGACCGGCAACAUGGGGACUGAGAUACGGCCCAGACUCCUACGGGAGGCAGCAGUGGGGAAUAUUGCACAAUGGGCGGAGGCCUGAUGCAGCAACGCCGCGUGCGGGAUGACGGCCUUCGGGUUGUAAACCGCUUUCGCCUGUGACGAAGCGUGAGUGACGGUAAUGGGUAAAGAAGCACCGGCUAACUACGUG